AACGAACGCUGGCGGCAUGCCUAACACAUGCAAGUCGAACGAGACCUUCGGGCUUAGUGGCGCACGGGUGCGUAACGCGUGGGAACCUGCCCUUAGGUUCGGAAUAACUCCCCGAAAGGGGUGCUAAUACCGGAUAAUGUCUUCGGACCAAAAAAUUAUCGCCUUUGGUUGGGCCCGCGUUGGAUUAGCUAGUUGGUAGGGUAAAAGCCUACCAAGGCGACGAUCCAUAGCUGGUCUGAGAAGAUGAUCAGCCACACUGGGACUGAGACACGGCCCAGACUCCUACGGGAGGCAGCAGUGGGGAAUAUAGGACAAUGGGCGAAAGCCUGAUACAGCAAUGCCGCGUGAGUGAUGAAGGCCUUAGGGUUGUAAAGCUCUUUUAACCGGGAUGAUAAUGACAGUACCGGGAGAAUAAGCGCCGGCUAACUCCGUG
rnacentral:rRNA from 1 species